rnacentral:rRNA from 1 species
GUGGGGAAUAUUGGACAAUGGGCGAAAGCCUGAUCCAGCAAUGCCGCGUGAGUGAUGAAGGCCCUAGGGUUGUAAAGCUCUUUUACCAGGGAUGAUAAUGACAGUACCUGGAGAAUAAGCUCCGGCUAACUCCGUGCCAGCAGCCGCGGUAAUACGGAGGGAGCUAGCGUUGUUCGGAAUUACUGGGCGUAAAGCGCGCGUAGGCGGUUUUUUAAGUCAGAGGUGAAAGCCCGGGGCUCAACCCCGGAAUUGCCUUUGAAACUGGAAAACUUGAAUCUUGGAGAGGUCAGUGGAAUUCCGAGUGUAGAGGUGAAAUUCGUAGAUAUUCGGAAGAACACCAGUGGCGAAGGCGACUGACUGGACAAGUAUUGACGCUGAGGUGCGAAAGCGUGGGGAGCAAACAGGAUUAGAAACCCGUGUAGUCC